UCGUGUGCAUGCACACUUCUUCAGAUACACAUCUGUAUCUGAAGAAACUGAGAGGAUUGUAUCUGAAGAAGUGUGCAUGCACACG